GCCGGGACGCGGCUAUGGCGGCUGCGGCAGUGGCGUCCCCCGAGGUCCUUCGGGAGUGCGGCUGCAAGGGCAUCCGGACCUGUCUGAUCUGCGAGCGGCAGCGCGGAGGUGACCCGCCCUGGCAGCAACCCCCGCAGAAAACACACCGGUUCAUUUACUACACGGACACCGGCUGGGCCGUGGGGGCCCAGGAGUCUGACUUUGAAGGCUGGGCCUUCCCCUUCCCGGGCGUGACUCUGAUUGAGGACUUCGUGACCCCAGAGGAAGAAACUGAGAUGGUGCAGCUGAUGGACCGCGACCCCUGGAAACUCUCACAGUCUGGGCGGAGGAAGCAGGACUAUGGCCCCAAAGUCAACUUUCGGAAACAGAAGCUAAAGACCGCGGGGUUCCAGGGCCUCCCCAGCUUCAGCCGUGAGGUGGUGCGCAGGAUGGGCCUCUAUCCCAUCCUGGAGGACUUCCGGCCCGUGGAACAGUGUAACCUGGACUACUGCCCAGAGCGGGGCUCGGCUAUCGACCCCCACCUGGACGACGCCUGGCUGUGGGGGGAGCGGCUGGUGAGCCUCAACCUGCUGUCCGCCACCGUGCUGUCCCUGUCCCGGGAGGUGCCCGGCAGCCUGCUGCUCUGCCUGGCCCCGUCUGGCUUCCCGGAGGCCGCGGGGGAAGGCGCAAUGGCCCCCAGCAGGUCCGUCCCGUGCCAGGAGGUGGAGGUGGCCGUCCCCGUGCCCCGCCGCUCUCUGCUGGUGCUCACGGGAGCCGCGCGGCACCAGUGGAAGCACGCCAUCCACCGCAGGCACGUCGGGGCCCGCCGCGUGAGCGCCACCUUCAGGGAGCUGUCGGCCGAGUUCGGCCCCCGCGGGAGGCAGCGGGAACUGGGGCAGGAGCUCCUGCAGAUCUCGCUCUCCUUUCAGGGGAGACCCACAAGUGAGCGCACAGGUAUGGUGAAGACACUGGCCAGCGUGUGGAGCGGUGAAAGGCACCACCUUUGCCCCCUCAGAGGAUCUGUCUCUCCAUCCCACAUCCAGUAAAUGCUUCCUGGGCCCUAAGACCUCGGCGUCUCAGAGAUUUGGCCAGCUGUGCGUCAGGCAAAAUGAACUAGGCUCGGUGACAAAUAUGGUGAGCCGGCCAGCGCAAAGAACGGGGCACGGGUUUGGAAGACAUCUUUUGGGAUGGCGCUGCUGCGCCUUUGUUGCUGGUGCCUGAGCCUCAGCCUCUCGCUUCGGGGCCCUCCCAGUCUCUGAGGAUGGAGAAAUGGGAAUGGUCUCCCCCCAUACCCUCCAGGGCACUGGAUUUGGCCAGGGAGCUACCCAUACUCAGGUGGGGCAAUAUCUGUUCCAGCAAGUCGCCGAUGGAGUGUGGACAUUGAGACUGGGCAGCGGAUGGGAUGGAUCUGGGUCCAUCCCCCUCCCCCCCCUUUUUUAAAUAAAUUUAUUUAUUUUUGGUUGUGUUGGGUCUUCGUUGCCGGGCAAGGGCUUUCUCUAGCUGUGGCGAGCGGGGGCUACUCUUCGUUGCGGUGCAACAGCUUCUCAGUGAGGUGGCUUCUUUUGUUGUGGAGCGCUAGGCUUGAGGGCUUCAGUAGUUGUAGCACUUGGGCUCAGUAGUUGUGGCACACAGGCUUAGUUGCUCCUCAGCAUGUGGGAUCUUCCUGGACCAGGGCUCGAACCCGUGUCCCCAGCAUUGGCAGGUGGAUUUUAACCUCUGCGCAACCAGAGAAGCCCCACCCCCAUCCUUUUCAACUUUAUAUUUAUUUCAUUGGAAGAACAAUAUGCCAACUUAUAGAGAUGACCCGAAGAGAAUGGAAAACUUUUUUUUUUAUCGUUUUUUUUUUUUUUUUUUUUUGCAACCCACAGCCCAACCCGGGCAGAUGUUCAACAUGAUUAAAUACCCUUCUCACUGCAGAAGAACGUUGAGCGGUGCUGAAUAAAGCUGGGGAGGAGGCAGAUCGGCUUCAUACAGAAAGCCCUGGCAACCACCUGUGCGCUGCUGCAAGCGUAGCAGUACCAACAGUGGAUCCUAAUGGGGCUGUGAAUGGUGGAGAUGGGCUAAAACUUGAGCACCAUGGAGACUGCAUUCCUGCAGGCUUACGAAGAGGGGCGCCAAGACAAAGAAGCCUCAGUAAAGUACAGGAGUUUCUAAUGGCAGGGACCGGGUUCAGGAGAAAAGGGAACAACGGAGAAUGAAAUAGCAGACCGCUCUGCUGGUGGCUGCCUUCGCAGAGGGAAGAGCAGGACCAAACAGAGGACCCCUGCGAGGGACUCAGCCAAAGGUUCUACUGCUCUUAGCGGCCAUCCUGGAAGAGAUGCUGCAGAAGAUGAGUCCAGAGGUAUGGGCAGAUGGGAGGCGGGGAAAAGCAAAGACAGCUACACCUGUACAGGUAAGGCUCUGCCCUGGGGCAAAAAUUGCAAACUUAAUGCAGUACCCAGUAAAGGAGCAGGCAAAGCAUGGAAUUCAACCUCUGCUUGCAGCCUUCCUCGAAUAUGAUCUAAUGCAUCCCUGCGAGUCACCUUAUACUCCGAUUUUACUGGUCUAGAAACCAGGUAUAGAUGAAUAUUGGUUUGUGCAUGACAUAAGAGCAGUUAAUCAAAUUGUGGAAGAUAUUCAUCCAGUCCCUAAUCCAUACACACUCCUCACUACUGCUCACCAGAAAUUUUUGUUGGUUUACUGUACUGGAUUUGAAGGAUGUUUGGGUUUUUUUUUUUUAUUUGUUUUUUGCAUACCCUUGAGAUUUUAAUCCCAAGAAUUGUUUGCUUUUAGUGGGAAGAUCUAGAUACAAAAGUUAAACAACAGUACAGCUGGACAGGAAAUCUCAGGGACUUAAAAGUUUCCCCAUGAUACUUGUAGAAAUCCUGGCAAAAGAUUUGAAGGCCCUUCAGCUAAACAAGGUAACCCUGCUCCAGUACGUGGAUGCUAUCAUUCUGAUUGCCAGUAAAACAAAGGACACCUGAGACCAGAAGACGGUUUUGACUUUGAGCUUUAUGGCUCAAUGAAGCUAUGAGGUAUCUGAGAAAAAGGCAUAGUUCUCUGCCUCUGUUAAAUACUUGGGUUUUGAACUCUCAUAAGGACAGAGAGACUUGCUCCCUGGCAGAAGGGAAGCUCUAGCCGGGGCUGCAGUUCCCACUAUCAAGAGACAGUUGUGGGGAUUCCUGGGAAUAGCUGGGUUCUGCUGCACUUGAAUCCCCAACUUUGGACUCCUGGCAAAACAACUUUAGGAAGCUCUUAGAGGAGGAGAUGAUGAACCUCUAGACUGAAUUCUUGGAAGAGUAAACAUCCAGAAGACCAGCUUCAUUCUCCCUGGACUGGACCUUGUGUGGAACGUGACGGGAAAUGGAAGCCAUUACUGCAGAGGAGAACUGUUGACCGACAUCAUCCAAGCCGUGGCUGGUUCCAGACCGCCUACGUGGACUUAUCCCAGUGGGCAAGUGAACCCCUAACAGAUUUUUUUUUUGGCUGUGUUGGGUCUUUGUUGCUGCGCACGGGAUUUCUCUAGUUGAGGCGAGUAGGGGCUACUCUUUGUUGCAGUGCACAGGCUUCUCUCGUUGCGGACCAUGUGCUCUAGGCACAUGGGCUUCAGUAGUUGCUGUGCCUGGUCUCAGUAGUUGUGGCUUGUGGGCUUAGUUACUCAUGGGAUCUUCCCGGACCAGGGAUUGAACCCGUGUCCCCUGCAUUGGCAGGCGGAUUCUUAGCCACUGCGCCACCAGGGAAGUCCCCCUAACAGAACUUAAGCUGUUUUUCAGAAAGAAGCCCCAAGAAAGAAAUUAAGGCUUAGAGGGACAAUUCAGUGAUUAGGACUUCUCCAACUUGGGCAAAAGCAGCAGGUGAAUCUGAGACUUGUACUGUCUCCUUGUUUGGCUGCCUUGUGAAUAAACCUUCUCUUUGCUGCAAACCCUGGCAUCUCACCAUUGUGGCCUGCUGCACAGUGGACAAAAUGAUCCUGUUCGAUUGCGGGAUCUGAGUUCCCUGACUAGGGAUUGAACCCCGGCCACAGCAGUGACAGUGCUGAAUCCUAACCACUAGGCCACCAGGGAACUCCGAAGGCCCCUGAGAUAUCUGAGAGAGAGAGAGAUAUG